UUACGACCCCUCCCUUUCGGCAGCUGAUUACUUCCUGCAGGAGUUGGCUGAAAGGGAGGGUCGUUAGGGCAAGUUGCUCACACCUGGCUAGGCCUCUACCCAAGGUGAUAUAAGCCAGCCUGGUCUCAUUGUCUCUCUCUCUCUCCUAGGCUCCACGCUGCUACAGGUUCUUGGUUCUUUUGAUGGCUUCCUUUUACACUCAACAGCAGCACACACAUCUCACUCAUCCAUGCACUACAUUCACCACUGAUGCCACUACUCUCCACACCUCAUGCUUUUGGUAGAUAUGAUUGGUUAAGUUAUAAUAAAACCUCUUCUUGCUGUUAAAGCGUUGACUGUAUUUGGCGGCGGCUCCUUCAACCCCGUCACCGUGGCCAAGACGGCUUUCUUGGGAGUAGGGACAUAGUGGUCCUCCAUAUCCAGAUCCCUGAGGCUGACAUCUGGGGUCUCCCAUGGCGGCCUCUCAUCCAGCAGCAACGUAAGACACUGGUCCAUCCCCCCGUCGCUCGCGAGGACAUCUGACAUCCUUUUGUUGUCGUCGAAGGCCACAAAGUUUUUCCUUGUUGUGCACGUUAGGCCGGGCUCCUUAUAGUUCACAGACGCCUUUGGUCUGCUUGUUCGACCACCGACAUCUCCACUGUCUCUAAUGGUGUUGGUAACGGACAUUAAACCUCUUCUUGCUGUUAAAGCGUUGACUGUAUUUGGCGGCGGCUCCUUCAACCCCGUCACCGUGGCCAAGACGGCUUUCUUGGGAGUAGGGACAUAGUGGUCCUCCAUAUCCAGAUCCCUGAGGCUGACAUCUGGGGUCUCCCAUGGCGGCCUCUCAUCCAGCAGCAACGCUGCUGGGUUGGUGAGGAUGGAGGGAUGUGCUGGAGGAUGCAGCCUGGAGGGAGGGCGGUACUGACUGUCAGUUAUUGGCUCCACGCUGCUACAGGUUGUUGGUUCUUGGUUCUUUUGAUGGCUUCCUUUUACACUCAACAGCAGCACACACGUCUCACUCAUCCAUGCACUACAUUCACCACUGAUGCCACUACUCUCCACACCUCAUGCUUUUGGUAGAUAUGAUUGGUUAAGUUAUAAUAAAACCUCUUCAUUUAACACUUUCAACCUGACUUGUCUCCCCUCCUUG